rnacentral:lncRNA from 1 species
UUCUAUCUUGUUCAAGUAGCUGCAGGCGUGCACACUCGAUCUCACAUAAAUUGCUUGCAAAUAGCCUUGCUCAUUUGCUCUCAAUUUUUCUUAACUUCAGCAUAUGUGCAUGCCUGUAAAAUAGAACAACUCAGUUAUUUAUUAGAUUAGUAAAUAGAGUUUGAUUGUGACUCAAUUUCUGAUAUUCUAUUGAAUUUGAGUCCUAGACCAAUCCAAACUCCAACCCUUAUCCAGAUGUGUUCUCUUCUCAUAAGGAGACUUCUUAUCUUAUCCCAUAUGCAAUCUUUUCGAUCAGUUCAGAAUAUAUUCAGUAGAUAUUGUUGCUUGAUCCCAAGAACUUAUCUUCUUCACGUGCAUCUCAUGUGCAUGGGCCAUAACAACUGCGUCUCCUAAGAUGGACCUCGCCCUUCACUGAGUUCAUUUGUCAUUCAUCAAAACUUUAACUGAUUUUGGGCUAAGAAAUUCCCCCUUUUUUAUGAUGACUUUGUGUUUUUACUGAUUAGAGAACCUGUGGAACUCAGCUAAAAUAUCACCACUUCAAAAAUUUAACUCAUCAUUAAGGGCCAAAUUUAAUUAGGUCAUAAACAUCACUGUUCAGAAAAUAGACAGAAUUUCUUUUUAAGCACAAUAUCUUCCCUCUUUUGGCAUCAUCGAAAAGUUGCAUAAAAAUGUGUAUCCUAGAAUUUUAAUCAUUACUCAUAGCCACUGGGACAACUGCAAGUGAAAGCAUGCUUUAGUUGAUCAAUAAUUAACUUGACAAAAAUAACUAUUAAGAACAAAAUCUUCAUAAAGCAAGAGAAAUGCAAAUUUCCAUUGAUAAGGCAGUGCUUUUACAAGACAGUCCACAAAAAGAAAGAACAAAAACAACCGACCAUGAGCAAAAAUAAGAAAAUUUCCUAAUCUGGGUCACUAGGGGUAACUGAACUGGUUCAAAUAUAAGUCAAAUAGGCCUAAGGUUUUGAGGAACUACAGGGUUGGGAUUGGAGUAGGUUGGGAAUUGUUUGUAUCAUCCCUUCACUCUUUUACUUUUCUUUUGCCAGCUCUGAUUUCAGCCCAUUCCUUUCAUCUUCCAGCUCAGCAACACGAGCCUGAAGCCUAGCAAUUUCAGCAUCUUUAGUCCCACAUUAUUGAACUAAUUCCCUAACCUUGCUAUUCACUGGAGUCUUCACUGAUGAACCAGGUUUAACAGGGCCUACACUUAGUAGAUAGUCACAAGCCUGUAUGAUUUUGAUUCCAAUGUGCUCCUUACUAGAGGCCAUUUCCCAUUUCUUCAAGGGAACAUUCAGCCUGUCCAAUACAGUUAUCAAAAUGAAUCCAUAAGGAGAAGCAUGAGCCUUUGAGCCAUUGAUGACUCUAUCCAACAGUUUGACUAUAAAAGCAAGACAAUUAAUCUGUUUACCCCUCACAAGAGGCUCCAUGACAACCAGGUCCAUGUAAUUUGCAGUGUGCCUCUUCUCCUAUCUAGGCAGCAGGCACUUGUUCACAAACUCAAAUAGCACUUUAUACUCUGGCUUUACUCUUUUGGACAAAUCUUGCCUCAGGCACCUCUUCAGCAUCGUUUGUAUCACAGAAGUUCCUGGUGAUUUGGAGUGUAGUGGACAGAUCAUCUAGACAUGGUCACCUUUGGCUAGUGUAAUCAUGAAAGCCCUCACUUGGAAUGUCUAGAAUCCUGCCCAAUUUAGGUGCAUCAAAGUUCACCUUCACUCCUUUCACUACACUGGUUACUAGCCCAUUUUUCACAGAACCAUUUGCCAUGAAUUCAAUCAAAUCUUCUCUGGCUAGUCUUCCCUCCAUCUUAAGGACCAUGUCCUUACACCCCUGUGCAGCUAAGGAAAAGGAUUGAAUAGAGGAACUCCCGAGCAUUUGGCGAUCUCAGAUGUGUCGAUAUGAAUGGUGACUCAUUAUUUCGAUGAAUCAUUUCUUCGGACAGAAGAAGAUUAUGUAAACACUUACUCGAGAUCUCACUUAUCAGAUUCCAUUGUGGAACUCAUUAUUUCUAUGAAUCAUUUCUUCGGAUAGAAAAAGAUUAUGUAAACACUUACUCGAGAUCUAACUUAUCAGAUUCCAUUGUGAAAGACACAAUUUUUUCUGAAGAAUUCGCCAUGAUAUACCUGAUCUAUGCAUAAUAUCAUGAAAAAUGGGUACAAAUUUUUGACUGCUACUUAGUAUUGGCAAUAGGUCUGAAAAAGUAUCUAAAAAUAUCAAAUUUAGAUAUUUGUACCCUGUCGAAGUAAAGAACCAUGUCAUAUAUGUUUGGAAUAGAUUACAUUUUGAGAGAGUUGAAAAAGCACUAUCUCGUUCCUAAGCAUGCAUGGCUCCUCCAGUUCUUUCAGCAACCUUCCCUUCAAUAUCUUUCUGCUGCUAAAAAUGUCAAGACGAUCUUGCUCCUAUUCAGAUUCAUCCUCUUCUUCUUCUCCACUAAACUAUUCUUCUUCUUUUUUUCAGUAACUUUUACUUAUAUUUCUUUUGCCAAGGAGGCUUCAGCAGGUACAUAUUUUGAAGACUUCUUUGCAGGAGUCUUGGUUCCUUUUAGUUUGGCAAUAGGAACAUCCAUAGUUGUACCUCUCUCUUGAUAGACCAGUUCCAUCUCCUCCCCCUCUUCUUCAGCAGCCUCGGAACUUUCCACAACUUUUUCUUUUCCUUUUUCUUUCUUCUUUUUGUUACUCUUCUCUAAGGCUUCAUGUAGUUCUGCCUCACUUUGCCUUACUUUUCUCCUUGUAGCCCUUCCCCUAGGUACAGAUGUAGCAGCAGUUUUGGGAGAUGUUACUUUGCUUUUCUUUGUGGGUUUAGAAGAAAUUGUGGUCCUUUGUGAAGACGCCUUGCGCUUCUUUUUGUCAUAACUACCCCCCACCUUCUUUAGAAUAUCUACUAAAGUUUCCUCCACAAAUAAACCAUGUUCAUCUUGUUUCUCACACAAAUGAACAAGUCUCUCAGCAGCCUCUCUUGAUCCGCUUCCCCCUGACUUUAAGCCACCCAGUUCUACACUACCACAGAUAGAAAGAACCUCACCUUUCUUUUUCUUUCUCCUCCUACUAGACUCAAUCCCUUCAACAUUCUUUAUAGAACUCCCCAAAACAAAUAUAGUGUCUUUCCUCUAUGCUAUAUCAUAAAAUACAAAAUAAGUGUUUACCUCACCUGGGGUUUCUUGACUCUUGUCAUUGCUAGAAGACCCAGGUUCUUCUCCUUCACUAGCUGAAGAAUUUUUCAGGCUCAGAGCUUGUGUCAGAUUCUUCAGUUGGAACCUCUUUCUUAUGGAUGGACUUAAAUUUCUCUUUAAGGCUUUUCUCAAAGAGCCAGAUGCUACCAUUUUUCUGGUAACAUUUUUUGCCUGUGAAAUCUAGGUUUUGGGAUUUCAAUAGGAGGUGUUGAUGAUGAUGUACUAGGGGAAGCUGGUGGGGGGAGUUCCAGGGUUAUCUUGAGGUUUAGUCAUAGCGGAGUGUUUCUGAAAUUUUUUUGGGAAUUUUUUUUGAAGAAAAGGGAUUAUCAAAAGUCUUGGAGAAGUGAAUGGUGGUUGUUAGUGAUGAGAGAUUGUGUGGUGGGUAUUUAAAGAGGGAUCAUGAUUAAGCCUGUAACGAUAGCUUUUUUCAGUUGUCAAUAAGGAGCCUAAUCAAAUUAUAAUUCCGAUCUCUUUAGAGACUAAUGAGCGAUGCUAGUUUUUAGGAAAAAUCUCGUUUUAGUUAGACUCAUAGGAUAAUGAAACUGGUUUAAUGCUCAACGAUAGAAUUUCUGAAAGUUUGGUGUAAUUAGGACUUCUGCUCAUGAUUGGUAAUAUUAUCUUUUCAAUUGUGCAAGGUAUAGAAAAUAUACCUAAACUUUCUCAUGAUCAUAUACUGAUGAACUAGGUUCUUCAAGUAAGACUUCUCUUGAUCAUGCCUCAAAUAUCAGAAUAGAAAAACUAUGUAAGAGAUUAGUGAGUCAUAUAAACACUUGUCACAUGAGUAUACUAAUUUAAGUAUGAGACCGAGUAAGAAUUAGUCUAGAUAUUUACAUUGAAUUAUGAACUCCUAAUUAAAAAAAUUAUUUUUUUCAUUGCACAUUCUGAACUAGACCCUUUUAGGUGAUCUUAGUCAUCCCUAAUUCCAAUAUGCUCCUUUCAAAGUUUUUCCUAUUAAGUUCUUUAGUAAAUAUGACAGUUAUUUGUUUAUUAGUAGCACGGAUUUUAUGGAGAUUAACCUUUUCUCAUAGUUAUCUCUUAGGAAAUGGUGUCUAACAUCUAUGUGUUUGGUCCUUUUAUGAUUAACAAGGUUCAUUGUCAUACUUAUAGCACUAGUGUUCACAAAAUAUUGGAAUACAUCUCACUUCAAUUCCAAAGUCUACCAGCUAUUUCUUCAUCCAUAGCAAUUGAGAACAACAAGAAGCAACAACAAUAUAUUCAGCUUCAGCAGUAGACAGGGCUACUAAAUGUUGCCUUUUGGUAGCCCAUGACACUAGACAUGACCCCAGCAAACGUGCUAUACCUGAAGUGCUUUUAUUAUCCACUAGAAACCUGCAUAAUUAGCAUCAGCAUAUCCUACUAGAUAAAAAUUACUACCUUUGGGAUACCAAAGACACAAAUCAGUGGUGCAUUUCAGAUACCUCAAUAUCCUAUUGACAACAGUCAAGUGUUACUCCUUUGGAUUUGCCUGGAAACGAGCACAAAGCCCUACACUGAAAAGGUAGUUAGAUACAAAAGUGAACCAAUCAUACCCCUAUACAACUUUUGAUUAACUGAUGAACCAGGUUCAUCAACAUCUAAUUUAGUGGUCGUUGCAAUAGCUGUAUCUAUUUCUCUGGUAUCCUCCAUUUUAAUCUUUUUGAUUAGUCCUUUUGUAUACUUCUGCUGAUGAAUCAUGGUCCCAUUUGGGCUUUGUUUGAUCUGCAAGCCUAGGAAGAAAUUUAGUUCACCCAUCAUACUCAUUUCAAACUCACUUCCCAUUAGCUUUGCAAUAUCCUUACUAAACCUAUCAGUAGUGGCCCCAAAUAUUAUGUCAUCAACAUAUAUUUGUACCGCAAGAAAGUCUUUACCUUUUUCCCUUAGGAACAAAGUGCUGUCAAUUUUACCUCUUUUGUACCCAUGCUCUAGUAGGAAUUUUGAUAGUCAUUUAUCCAAGAUCUUGGGGCCUGCUUAAGCCCAUAUAAAGCCUUUUCUAGCUUGUACACAUGUUCAGGACAUUCAUUGCUUUCAAAUCCUAGAGGUAGCCAUUUAGGAAAGCACAUUUGACAUCCAUCUAAUGGAAAGUGAAUUCCAUAUGUGCUGCAAAGACAAUAAGGAGUCUGGUUGCCUCUAGUCUUACCACUGGUGCAAGGUCUCAUCAUCAAUGCUUUCCUCUUGGAUGUAGCCAUGAAUCACCAGCCUUGCCUUGUUUCUUGUAACAGUUUCAUCUUCAUCAAGUUUGUUCCUGACGACCCAUUUGGUACCAAUGACUGAUCUGUACUAGGGUCUAGGAACUAGAUGCCAUACUUGAAUUCUUUCAAAUUGAUUGAGUUCCUACUACAUAGCUCUGGCCCAAUCUGCAUCUUGCAAAGCCUCAACAAUAUUUUUAGGUUCAAUAAGAGAUAAAAAAACAUCAAAUACACACAGAUUCUUUAAUUGUGAUCUAGUUUUGACUCUAGAUGUUGGAUCAUUAAUGAUGUUCUUAACGGAAUGAGAACUUUGAUUCUUGUGAGAUUUCACCAACAACUGGUUUCUACUAGAUGAUUCUCCUAUGUUCAGUUUAUGAGGAACAAGUUCAUGAACAGGUUCUUGUAGAGAGUUUGUUUCAUUUUCUCCCUGAUUAGUUCCCCUGUCAGGUUGCCCUGAGUGGAAGAACCUGUUCCAUGACCUAUUCCUUCUUUUGAUGUUGCUUCACUCAAUUCUCUUACCAAGCCAAUGGCUUCAUCUUCAUGUUCCUGUCUCUCAGAAAGAAUGUUAGUUUCGUCAAAUACAACAUACACACUUUCUUCUACACACAAAGUUCUUUUAUUCAAUACUUUAUAUGCUUUGCUAUGUGAAGAAUAUCCCAAGAAUACUCCCUUAUCACUUCUAGAAUCAAGCUUACCUAGGGAGUCAUUUCCAUUAUUGUGCACAUAGCACUGGAAACAAAAUUUCCUAAGGUGGGAUAUGUUUGGUUUUCUCCCUUUAAGUAACUCAUAGGGAGUUUUCUCAACAAUGGUGCACAUAGCACUUUCAAUCGAAUGCCCUAAGAUGGGAUAUGUUUUGUUUUCUACCUUUAGGUAACUCAUAGGGAGUUUUCUCAAUAAGAAAUCUAGUCAUGCAUCUAUUGAUUAUGUAGCAUGCAGUGUUUACAGCCUCUUCCCAGAAGCUGUGGGGGAAUUUACUAGAGAGAAGCAUGGUCAUUGCCAUAUCCUCAAGGGUCAUGUUCUUUCUUUCAACUACACCAUUUUUCUUAGGAUUCCUAGGGGAAGGGAAGUUGUGAUAUAUACCAUUUGCAUCACAAUAUUCAGCAAAUUUUACAUUUUCAAAUUCAUUUCCAUGAUCAGACCUAAUAGAUGCAAGUUUAUUUCCUAAUUGUUUCUGAGUUUUUCUAACAAAGGCAGUAAAAAUUUCAAAUGUCUUAUCUUUGGAUGUCAGAAAUAGUACUCAGGUAAAUCUAGAAUAAUCAUCAACAACUACCAUCACAUAUUUCUUUCCAUCUCUGCUGAUGGUUCUCAUUGGACUAUAAAGAUCCAUAUGAACAAGUUCCAACCAUUUUCUAGGAUUUGAAGGAUGACCUUACUUUCUUCCCCCUUGCACAUGCCUCACAAACAUUGUCUUCCUUGAACUUGAUAUUAGGUAACCCUAUCACCAAGUCCUUGGAAACUAAUUCAUUUAGCUAAUUUAGACUGGCUAACCGGACCCUUUUCUUAAAUCAGACCCUUGAAAGACCCGACCCGAUUACAUAAAAACACAUACGCGACCAGUGUUUGUGAUUGUUCCAGAAGAAAUGAAACAAAAGAUAUGGUAGAGCUAGGACAAUUAUUGUAUGAGGUCUACCCAAUGCUAAAUGCAGAGACGCAUAAUUCCCUUAUAAUAAAAGAUAUUUAUAAUAUUCGUGUAUGUAACUUAAAUUCAUUAACAAAUUGACAGUUGAAUUAUUUCAUUGUUCGUUUAUCCAAUAAAUUAAUUUCGACAAAUUUCAAUAAUGUUUCAUGUUUUAUCUUUGUUUUAACUCAUAUAGUGAGUAUCGAAUAUAACAAGCAGAAACAUAAUUUCAAAAUCAUGUUCUUCAUCCCUAACCAAGAAGCUAAUCUGAAGAGCACAAAUCCGCUAAAUCUUAUUUCUUCUUCAGUUUUUGAUUUAGUAUUCGCAUUUAAGGUUGUUCAACCCUUCUUAUUUAGAUGGGUGGGUCGAAAUAGUUAGGGUUUAUUUAGAAAGAAUGAUAAUGUAUUGCACUUUAAUUCACCAAAUAUAACCAGCUUCUAAAUAUUAGACUUGGAAGGUGAAGAUGGGAUUGAAUUUUUCAGAAAAUUGUUUGCUACCUUUAAAGAUGAAGAAGAUGAAAAUGGUGGCUUUUAAUAAGAGAGAGAUGAAGAAUUAGGUAUUAUGGCUAAGAAAAUGGGUCCAUUUUCAGUAAAUAUCCUUUUUAUUUAGUCAGUUCAGAUAGAAAAUAACUAUUCACGCGCCCAUUGGUCGUAUUUCACACGUCCAAAGGCUGGUCAAAAGUAGUAUGUAAUUGAUACAUUUUUAAAAGAUUUGUUGUGUAAAAUGAAACUCGUGGUCAAUAGGUGUGUAACAGGAUUUGGUCGUAAGUUGGAUGGGUAAAAUAUGUAUUUCGCCUUUGGAAAAUAUUUUCCCUCCUCUUGACAGGGAUAAGGAAAAUGUUUUCCAAAACAUUUAAGCCAACCAAACAUGAAAAAAUUGAAAAACAUUUUCCGAAAAAUAUUUUUCUUCAUACCAAACACACCCUAAAUUUAUUUAUUUUUUUCUUUUUUUUUUACAUUACCAGUUUAUAAAAGUUAAACUCUUCAAUCAAAAGGCAUGUAUCCAUUUGGUUUUGUCCUAGCAUCCUUUUUUAAUUAAUUGAAAGGGCCUUCAAACUGAUCAAUGCAGUAUGAUGACCAAGUUUAUAGGUGUGUAUUCUAGUUUGUGAAUGUGUAUUACUGUGUCGCUUCCAUUGACUGAGGGAAAGAUGUGAAAGAUAUUAAUGCAAAAUAAAUUUCAACGUUUAACAAAGGAAACUGUUUGAUUAAGGUACCAAACCUAUACUUCCUUAAGCUUUUGAUUUGCUCAAAGUCUUUCAUAUAGUAUCAAAGUCAAAUUUUAAUAAGUCUGUUUUAGCCAUCAGCUCCACUCUUUGAGGUUUGAGCUUCUUUUAAUUUUCUGUGUGCAUUAAGUUAUGAGAUUAAGUAAACACUACUGCAUCUAUAACAAUAAAGUAAUAUUAUAUUUUCUUAUCAUUAAAUAUCUAAAAAUAUCUUAUCAGGCACCAUCUCGCUAGCAAAUUUAUUUUAUACAACUUUUACGUAUUUUAAAAAUAAUUCUAUUUAACUAAUUCAUUCUUGGAUUUAGCUUUGAAAUGAUAUCUUCUCUAUUAAACUAACUUUUGAUUGCUAUUCUAACAUUAUCUUUUACUACUAAAUAUGAUAUAGUACAAGUAAUUAACAAUUCAAUCGUCGUGUCUAAUUAAAUAGUUUGACAUAAAUUAGAACACGGAGAGCAAAACGUAACAAUUAAAUGGCUCUAUAGCUUUAUUCAUACGCCUUUACAAUUCACUCCUCGUAAAAUCCCUCCCACCACCCUCCUACCUUUUGCGUUUUAGCAUGUAUGGCAUAUAAGGAAUAAAAAUACUCAGGAACAUAAAAAUUUACCCAUUAAUAUUUCCCUGCUAAUCAAUAUGGUAGAUGAGUACUCCCUCCGGUCCAUAGUAAGUGUCAUUUUUAUUUUAGCAUAUCCAAUAAGAAAAUAAUAAAUCCUAUACAAAAUUACCUAGUAUGACUAAACUACCCUUAUUAAAUAUUGGGCACAUGAUUAUAGUGGCAUUUGUUGCUCUUCUGCACAUAAGGGUAAAGAAGUAAAAACAAAUUGAAUUUUUUCUUGAAUACCUAACUAGACACUUAUUUUGGACCAAAAUCAAAAAGUAAAACAGACACUUAUUGUAAACCCGAAGGAGUAUUAAAUAAUUAUGUACUAAAUAAUUACCUUUGUUUCUUAAUGCAGCUUUUCCUUUUUUAUCCUAUACGCCGAGGAUCGACUGGAAACAGCAUCUCUGCCCUUUCGGGCAGGAGGCACAUGAUAUAGUGGCAUUUAUUAGGUAUAUGCACAUAAGGAUAAAAGAAUAAAAACAAAUUAAAUUUUUUCUUGAUUACCUAACUAAACACUUAUUUUGGACAAAAAUUAAAAAGUAAAAGAGAUACUCAUUAUGGACCGGAGGGAGUACUAUUUUCUAAUCGGAAACAAUCGCACAAAACAUCUCACCACACCAAUUUACAUUAAAUGGCAUUCACCCCAAGCAAAUCACAAUAAACUAAACAUUGAUGGAGCUGGAAUAUUUGGGGUUUUACGCGACCCUCAAAGCCACUGGAUCAUGGGCUUUGCUAGUAAAUCGUACCCAGCUACCAGUUUCCAGACAGGACUUCUUGCACUACUUAUGGGCCUGAAAAUUACUGUAUGCCACCACCUCACUCCCAUCGUCAUUGAGACCGAUGCCCAAGAAAUCAUCGGUAUGUUCACGACGCCUGCUAUGCAUUAUACAAACAUUAUCAAUAAUGGCAGUUUGCUACUUCUACAGCUAGAUAGGCCUCAUAUGAUCAUAUCCAACAUGUCCAAAAUAGUUUAGCUAAAUAUGAACCCAAACAUGCAGUUGGGAACAAUUGUCUACAUUUUGGAACCCCACUACCUCCUUUUGUCGAGCCAUGCUACCAGAAAGAUCAAGCAGGAACAACGCAUCGGAGCCUCGUUAAAACAACAAAAGAGCUUUCAACCAGUGUCCCAACACAACCGAUCUAUGAUCUAUCUAGUUUUUGUAAUAGUAAUGUUUUGUCUAGUACUGAACCCCAAGCUGGGGCAUUUAUAGUAACUCCUAAUAUUAGCUUUGUUACUUCGAUGCCUAUGAUACAUCUCGCUCCGUGUACUAACCUUAAUGUUUAAUUUCUAUUAAUAUAACUACUUCUUUAUGCCCAAAAAAAUUAGAAUAAACUUGCACGCACAGACAAGUUCACAGUACAACGUUCAAACCUCGGCAUUGCAUAUCUAUACCAGUAUUCUAAAAGGCGGGGAUAUGAGGCGGGGACAUUUUACCCACUAAGACGAGAGACUUAAUCCCUUAGGCAUCGAACGUAAGCUUCAUGGAUCGUUAAAUUUUUUAAUUUAUAAAUUUAUUAAAUAACAUAAUAACAUAAAAAUUAUAGAAAGUAUAUCCAAAAUUUGAAGAAAAUUACAAAAUAUUGAAAAUUUCGUAGAAAAUUAAAUAUCUAGCAUGUUUUUACUGGCAAAAAAUCAAUGAUGUCAGUUUUACUAUGAAACACAAAUCAAUUAUAACGUCUUAACUUUCAAAAAAUAUGACAAUUUCUUAAUAAAUAUUAUUGAAUCAAAUAUUUUACCUUCCUAAAAGUAAAUAAUUAAUAAACUUUACCAGUGUUAUAAUUUAAAGUAUUACUCCUUCAUGAAUAAAUACAAAAUUUCUUUCAAAUGACAAAAAAAAUAAAAGUUUAAUAAUUUUGAGAGACAUAGAAGAUAGAACUAAGAUAUAAAGGCUGCCUAUAGCAAGUGAUGAUAUAAAGUUUUGCUGUUUUAGAAAAAUAUUCAAAUUAUAUUAACGCUCAUGUUAUUCUCAAUGAGUAAUUAUGCAAUAUUAUAAUGUUAUUUGAGUCUCUCUCAAUCUUCAUACUCCUAUAUAUGAAUAAAACUAUAAUCAUUCAUUUGUUAAAGAAUUUUGAGGGUUAAUGGUGUUAGUUAGAAAAUUUGACACAUCAUUUGAGUUAUAAUUAUUGGGUAAUUAUUACUGGCAGAGCCUUGAGCGGUGGGCAUCUACGUUGCAGAUUCACCAAAAAUAUUAUCGGAUACGUGUCGGAUUCUCCAAAACCAGUAUAUUUUUGGAGAAUCCGACACGAAUGCGGCAAUAUUUUGGAGAGUCCGCAGAACAUAGGUGGGUGUUUGACGUUUUUAGGGAGCCUCACAUAACUAUGCCCACACGUGAGCCUCAGGGCAUUUUGAUAGUGCCCCGCCCUCGGGCGAGUGCUGGGAAAGUCCCAAAAAAAUCUUUUGAAAUACUGAUCUAUACAUGCAUACAUUAAUGACAUAGGGAUCGCAUAUUCUUGCUCAAAGUUUUUAUAUCAAACUUAACAAAGGUCAUGCUAAGUCAAAAAUACUGCUGAGUUACGUUUUUAAGUUUUGGGAUGAUCUGCCUGUUUUGAGUAGUAUGAUUACACUCCAAAAAAUGUCUUGAAAAUAGGAGCUUUUUUAUACUCGGAACUUGAGAACUUUAAUUUGAUGAAGUAAAUCUAAGUUCUUGCCUACUUUUCAAUUAAUCACUCGAAUUUUGAAUGGUUCACCAAACUUUGGCUGAUUACUAAUCAUCAUUUUACCUACUGAAAUAGAACAAAGAUGCCAUCUGGUUUUAAGUUCUAUAACUUCGUCGAUCAAACAAUCACGACACCCUCAAAAAUCAACACUCUAUCCAUUAGUAAUAUUUUUUACAAAUGAAGGAUCCAAAAUUAAAGCGAUGUUUCUUAAUAGUCAUAAAAAAUUACAUACACUAAUGAAGAGAGGAAGGGAAUGAUCAUUAUUCUUAGCUCAAGAAUCUUACAACAAGGAAAUUUGAUAAGGGAGAGUUAAUUUACUUGCUGUAACAUUACAUAUUUAGAUAAAACGGGCCGGGUCGGGCUCAACGAUCUGAAUCAAUUGAUUCUAUGAUUGAAUAGCUAAGUGCUACUUAAUAUUAUAAAUUGAAGAAAGAAACAGAGAGGGGACUCUUUCAUACCUUAUCGAUCGAGCCGAACACGCAUGGAAGACAUAGGUGAAUAGUGGCGAGCAGAUACAGAAGGAGACCUCCUAUGGACAAACAUGCCUGAAAAUCGAACCAUUGAAUUCAGAAUCCAAACUAAGUCCCCCAACACAUAAGCUAAUUCCUCAUAUAUGCUCAUGCUUUUCCUUAACAUUACAUGCAUCACUACUGUCAUUGCAUCUCCAAAUCUAAUCAUUUUAAUGCUUUCUUUGAUAUGUGUGGAGAAAGUCACACGAGUGACCAGCGUUCAAUGAAUUCCAAGUCUAUCUAUUAAAUGGGGCAGCAAAACAAAGGCCAGAUGACCUAGAACUUGUUUCUUUGUUUCUUUUGAAUCUUUAAAUGAAUGAAAAUAAUAUGUGAACACCUCUGUACUAGUAUCAAUUAUUUGGCAUUAAAUAUUAGUGUACUAAAACUCUAAUGAAAGAAAGAAGUGCUAAAGGGCAUGGUAGACUUACUUAAAUACCCUUUUUCUUUAACUUGUCAAAGCUUCUCACUACUUGUGAAAAAUUAAUGUAGUUGUUGAUGAAAAUGAUGAAUUCUAUCGCUUCAAAGAAAAGCAACCAUUUCCAUGCAGCUUGUUUUCUUGGAAUCUCACCUCCAAAACUGCAAAGAAAACAUUGCUGCUGGAACUGAUCAAAAUGGGGUUUCUAGAAAUCAGAUUAAGAAAAACAGGAGAUUGAAUUUUUUCCUUUAGCUUUUACCAAGGUGAGGAGGUCAGGUUCGAUGCAUGGAAACAGCUUUUUGCAUAAAUACAAGAUAAGGCCUUAAUGCACCGAGAUGCUUUUUAAGGUGCUUUUGAUAGAGCCAUGUUGGAAAUCCAUAUUUAUUCGCAUUAAUUAAGCUGUUUGGCUUUCCUUUUAUUUCUUUGUUAUUUUUUAUGUGUGAGAUGAAGGGGCAAUAAUGUCAAAAUAAUCGAAGGAUGUCU